GCUGGAAUUGCUAGUAAUGGCAGGUCAGCAUACUGCCAUGAAUACGUUCCCGGGCCUUGUACACACCGCCCGUCACACCAUGAGAGUUGGGAAUACCCGAAGCCUGUGAGCUAACGAAAGAGGCAGCAGUCGAAGGUAGAAUCAAUGAUUGGGGUGAAGUCGUAACAAGGUACC
rnacentral:rRNA from 1 species